CAUACUUCGUGGUGGGAGUGUGUAAUAAAAAGGGUCAGUUUACCUCAUGGUGGCUGAAUUGCUGCUGAAACUCAACCUUGGCCUUUCUGUUGAAUCAAUGCUUAUGCUAAGGCCCUGGCAUGCUCUCUCUGCUCCCAUGAAGCAACCUCAAAGAAAACAUAUGAGGAACGUAUCUCCAUUUCUCAGCUCUUCAGCAUGGAAAAGCAAGCCUAUGGGACAUUUUCUUCAUUAGUGAUUAAUAUGGGAUGACCCAGUUCAUUGUCCUUGGGGCCACCCCUGGGCUGGUGGUCCUGGGUUCUACAAGAAAACAGGCUAAGCAAGCCAGUAAGCAGCAACCCUCCAUGGCCUCUGCAUCAGCUCCUGCCUCCAGGUUUCUACCCUGUUUGAAAUCCUGCCCUGACUUCCUUCAGUGAUAGACUAUGGUGUGGAAGUGUAAGCCAAAUAAAUCCUUUCCUCUCCAACUUGUUUUUGGCUAUGAUGUUUCAUUACAG